ACGGGUGAGUAACGCGUGGGAACAUACCCUUCGGUUCGGGAUAACUCAGGGAAACUUGAGCUAAUACCGGAUACGUCCAAGGUUUAAUCGCUUUGGAGAAAGAUUUAUCGCCGAGGGAUUGGCCCGCGUCUGAUUAGCUUGUUGGUGAGGUAAUGGCUCACCAAGGCGACGAUCAGUAGCUGGUCUGAGAGGAUGAUCAGCCACAUUGGGACUGAGACACGGCCCAA
rnacentral:rRNA from 1 species